rnacentral:rRNA from 5 species
UCACACCCGUUCCCAUGCCGAACACGGAAGUUAAGCUCUUCAGCGCCGAUGGUAGUCGGGGGUUUCCCCCUGUGAGAGUAGGACGCCGCCAAGC